GAUGGUUGUGAAGUGGAAUUUAAGGAGAGUUAUUGUUUUGUUAGGCUGUAGUUGUAUCUAUAUAACCAGAACCUCCGUCAAAACUCUGGUCCAGUUCACAACGUGGACAUGUAGAACUACUUUGUGUAAACAGGAGAUUCACAUAACAAUGUUAGUAGUGGUUUCCUAGGGUUUGUCGCAAAUGGCUCCCUAUUCACUAUCUAGUGCACUUCUUCUGGUCAAAAGUAGUGCACUACUAUAGGGAACAGUGUGUCAUUUGGGACACACUAUAACACUCAGAUUGACAGUAUUGUUCUAACUCUCUUGUCUUGUUCUUAACGUAGAGCUUUGGGUCGUACCAUUUUGGGGAGUUUGAUCUGAGUGCUGUACAGAUUUCCCAGAGGUAUUCUACCGACUGCACCGGUUUCUACACCUCCGCUGGCCUUCUGAACUUCUCCUGACCACCUCUCCCCUGAACGUUCCCUCAGGUCAGAGGUGAACGAUGAAGCUUCAAGGUGGACUGGACCUGCAGAGAUGAAUGACCGGGUUACAAGGUGGACAUGUCAGAAAACUCUAGGAUGUCCCUGUCACCGUGUCAGAAAACUCUAGGAUGUCCCUGUCACCGUGUCAGGAAACUCUAGGAUGUCCCUGUCACCGUGUCAGGAAACUCUAGGAUGUCCCUGUCACCGUGUCAGAAAACUCUAGGAUGUCCCUGUCACCAUGCACUUGGCUGCAGACCAAUCAAAUGCCAGUGGAAUUGUGUCAGAAAAUGCUGGCGUUCAUUUCCGUGGGACAUUGUGCUCCAUCUCCCCCAGUCACGUGCUUCCUGAUUAAAAACUUGUCUUCCUGAAGUGUUUACGUUUCAACUGGAGUUAAGGCCUGAAAACAACGUGAUUAUAUUAAUGACAAAUUGGAUUAAUGACACAUUAUAUUAAUGACACAUUGGGGUAAUGACACAUUGGGUUAAUGACACAUUGGGGUAAUGACACAUUGGAUUAAUGACACAUUGGGGUAAUGACACAUUGGGGUAAUGACACAUUGGGGUAAUGACACAUUGGGGUAAUGACACAUUGGGGUAAUGACACAUACCAUUUGGUUUUGAUAUUUUUCCCCUCUAUGGCAUAAGGUUCCACUAUUGUGAUAUGGGAUGAAUCUAUAAAAAAAAUAUUUUAAUAAUAAACAGACAAAUUAUUCAAA